CCUACGGGAGGCAGCAGUGGGGAAUAUUGGACAAUGGGGGCAACCCUGAUCCAGCCAUGCCGCGUGUGUGAAGAAGGCCUUCGGGUUGUAAAGCACUUUUGUUGGGGAAGAAACCGGCCGGGUUAAUACCCUGGUUGAAUGACGGUACCCAAAGAAUAAGCACCGGCUAACUUCGUGCCAGCAGCCGCGGUAAU
rnacentral:rRNA from 1 species